UUUGUGACUCACCAUCAUUCUUCUUUUCCAUUUCCUUCUUUUUCUUUUAUCAAAAUCAAGUUUUUCCAUUAUCAAAUUUACUUAAGUAUUCCUAUUUUUCCAAGUAAAUUAAUCAAACUUUUCAUACGAAUAAUAAUCCUAGCAUUCAAUUGAAGAACUUAUUUGGGAUAACUUGUGGAUGUGUAUAUGUGUGGGUCAAAACACAUAAGAGAGGAGAAGAAGAAAUUCCUAUUUUUCCAUCUUAGUUAUUGUCUUUCAAAGUGGUUCCGGAAGAAGGAACUAAUAAAGUUGUGGAUUGUAAAAGUUGCUAGUGAUCUUGAAGGUAGCUUGCCAUUUUGCGAGAGAAUGGUAUUUAUGAUGGAAACCUAGUUUAUCCCACCUCAUUUGGCUCUUGAUACAAUCUUAGUAUUUUGAAUUUUAUGGUUAUGUAACUUGUUCACUUUGGUUUUGGUAACUAGUCUUGUUAAAGUUGGAAGUCAAAUGAAUGUUUUGGGUUAUGUGACGUAAUGGGUAAUGUGUCCAACAUAUGUUGAAAUGUACAUGUUAUCAAAUGUAAGCUUUUGAAACGUUUGGUUGCUUGA